UGCGUAGGCGGCUCUACAAGUCAGUAGUGAAAUCUCGAAGCUCAACUUCGAACGUGCUAUUGAAACUGUAGAGCUUGAGUACAGACGAGGCAGGCGGAAUGUGUUGUGUAGCGGUGAAAUGCUUAGAUAUAACACAGAACACCGAUAGCGAAGGCAGCUUGCCAGACUGUAACUGACGCUGAGGCACGAAAGCGUGGGGAGCGAACAGGAUUAGAUACCCUGGUAGUCC
rnacentral:rRNA from 1 species